rnacentral:rRNA from 1 species
UACGUAGGGACCAAGCGUUGUUCGGAUUUACUGGGCGUAAAGGGCGCGUAGGCGGCAAUUCAAGUCAUCUGUGAAAUCUCCGGGCUUAACCCGGAACGGUCAGAUGGUACUGCUUUGCUAGAGUGCGGAAGGGGCAAUCGGAAUUCUUGGUGUAGCGGUGAAAUGCGUAGAUAUCAAGAGGAACACCUGAGGUGAAGACGGGUUGCUGGGCCGACACUGACGCUGAUAGCGCGAAAGCCAGGGGAGCAAACGGG